rfam:Triticum aestivum genome assembly, contig: Triticum_aestivum_CS42_TGACv1_scaffold_556472_7AL
CUUAUAAUUCCUCCGUCCGGAUAUAUUUGUCAUCAAAAUGGAUAGAUGGAGGUGUAUCUAGACGUAUUUUAGUUCUAGAUAUAUCCCUUUUUAUUCAUUUCGAUGACAAGUAUUUUCGAACGGAGGAAGUAUGUU